AGGGAUUGGUGCGAAGUGCAGUGCCGAACACCAAUAUAAGCUAAGUUUUAGCCUGUUGCAAAAUCUCAAGCUCGUUGUGCACUGUAACAAAAGCGACCCGAUUAAAGAAUUACAAAACUGCAUUUCAAAGUGCUGAAAAUGUGAGUCAAGUCACCACAGGGCUCUCCGUGCACAUCUGAGUGCAAAGCGCAUACUGAUAGUACUACAAAACCGAAUUGGAUGGGGCAGCCACACAUUGCAACGGACAAACGCUGCAAUGAAAUGAGAUCAUUGUGUUGUCAGGUAUUUUUCAGCUGAAAAGUGCUGCACACAGAUAGACACGCUAUAUACUGUGUAAAAACACAGACGCGCAGUGAUAAUGGACGCUUUAAGCAAGCAAGCGGGCUCUUGAGUGUGACGCCACAUUUCCGCUCUCAGUAAUAAUACACACUGCUGUAUAAAUACAAUAUAUCUUAUUAAUUAAUGGUCUCUUUGUUGUAAAAGAUAAAUUAUUCGUGGACCGCUGGCUAAAUUAAUGUUACAUAGUAUCUAUUAUAUAAAAACAUAAUGUACUUUCUCGCAAAGCACGUAUCCUUAUUUACAUCCCCCUUCCCGGCCCUCCGCCCUGCUCUGAAGUGAGGGAACUGCGUAUUGUGCGGCAAUAAAUGAAUUGAAGAUUGUGGAAGAGAGUUGGGGACAGGCAAUGAUUAUAUAGUUUAACUGGUCUUUGCUGCACAACCGGUGCCACUUCUACGGACCCGACUGAAACUAAAACCAUGGCCGACAAGAGAGUCAUUGUAAUCAGCGACGAUGAAACAGACACGGGGACUGAGUCGCCUGGAGCCAAUUGCAAAGACUCCUCUGUCCUGCUAUUGGAAGAGAAUUCUCACUUUGACUGCUCUGUCUCAGAUGGAAACAGAUCGGAUGAAAUGGUUGAUAACGAGUUUGGAUUGUCUGUCACUUUCUCCAGAAAAGCAGAAGUGAUGCCCCAUGCCAGAUAUGACUGCACGAUCCACGUUUUCAGUGUCUACGAUCAGAUUUUCUACUUUAAUUUCCAGUCAAUCAGAGAAUCAGAGAAGCAGCCCUAUGGGAACAAACAGUGCUUUCUGUGAGCAGUGUCACUGCUACAUCUGUGACAAACUGGCUUCCCAGUGCCAGUCCUGGAUCACCCCUUCUUUUUGCCACUGCAAUGCUCACAAAAGAAGCCUGUUCUGGAAAUAGUGGCGAGAUCAAGCUUUGAUCGUAACCCUUAUUGUUUUUAAGUGUGACCUGCUAGAGAUAGACGCAGACCUACGGCACGCUGAAAGCCUCUUGAUGAAGUUUGAUGCAGAUUUAACCACUGAGUAUCAUAAGUUCAUGAUGGGGACCAUAGCCACUCUUGCAGCCAUUUAUUCUUGCUCCUGUUGCUGUCACAACCAGUACCAAACUAUGGUCAACUGCAAGAGGUGUAGUUCAAAACAUGAAGAUCUAUUGAUAUACAACUAGUGUUAGAGUUCCUAGAAAAAGCAAAUAGAGAGAAACCCAAAACCUUUGCAGUUCUGUUGUUGGGAGCAGCCCAGCGAAUUUUACUCCACAAGCAGCCACUGGGUCAUUGUAUGCCAAAUACCAGAGUUGUUCCAGAAGCAGUUUACUGCUGCAAAGUUUGAAUGUCUACCGCUGGGAUGACUCUUUGCUGGUGUCUGUGUUGAGAGGCCAGAACAUCACUGGAGAGAGAGUUGUGAAGGGAAAGAAGGAGGUCCUGUUUGAGUCCAUACAUGUGGUUCUUGCACGAACCGAGAAGCUAAGGGAGCAAAACAACGGAACGUGUGGGCUCUGAAAUAUCUGUUCAGAAGUCUCAGCGUCAGACUCGAUGUCCUGCAUGAAUUUCUUGAUUGCCUUAUCAGAGACCUGAACGAGAAAAAUAACACUUUGUUUACCAGGACCUUGCCACAGUCCGAUGCAGAGCACAUCGGCCACUUCAUCUUUUUCCUAAUUUCGUACGAGCAUGCCACGUUAAGGCCUGUGGCACACAAGAUUGUAGAUUUUCUGCUGGAACACUGGAAUGAGCUUCAAAAUUGCCCAUGGCAGCGGAAUCUUGCCAUACUUCUUCAAAACCAGGAUGCUACGCACUGGAACACUUCAAACAGUUUCCUACAGCUGAAGAACAAACUGAGAACAAUAGUCUGAUCGUGUCCCAGACUGGGUUCCUGCACCAUCCUGUCUUUACUGGACGCCGCGUCGAGCAUUUGAAACUAAACCGGUAGCACUGAGUAGGAGGACUAAAAGAAAAAAGAAAAACUUCUGUCGGAUUACAUUUUGUUUUCACCACAUGCUGUACCUCUGUUUGCCUCAUGACUGACUUUUUUGAAUGUGAAAAGUGUUAUUGGAAUUAUGAAGACAAAGACUCAUUUUAAGCAUCAUUGGAUCUUUUGAACUUAAGUUUCCAAAACCGAAAGGAAAGAAAUUUUGAAAUAAAUAAAUAUAUAAUUUUAAAAGCCAUUUAAAGUUUUCUUUUAUGCGGAAACAUACUGUGAAAAUAAAGCUGAGUGCUUAAAGUUAAACGUGUAGAACUUUUAACAAUGUUAAAUAAUUGGAAGACGUAUACCGUGUGUGGAUAGAUAGAUAGAUAGAUAGAUAGAUAGAUAGAUAGAUAGAUAGAUAAUGUAUGUAUGAGGCUACAAGGGAACCUUCUGAAUGUUGUAAAAGUAUUACAUUAGUCUAGACUGAACGGCUAACUUCUACACAAGUAUUUGCAAUUUGUGUAUUUUCAUCAGGGUCAGUGCUUCAAGGGACCCUGUUUCUAAAGCAACCCCUUGAUGAGCCUGCAUGCUAUUUCAUGUUAACUAGCACGCAUCCCUCCUUCACAGUGUAAACACCG